rnacentral:rRNA from 1 species
UGCCUGUAAGACUGGGAUAACUCCGGGAAACCGGGGCUAAUACCGGAUGGUUGUUUGAACCGCAUGGUUCAAACAUAAAAGGUGGCUUCGGCUACCACUUACAGAUGGACCCGCGGCGCAUUAGCUAGUUGGUGAGGUAACGGCUCACCAAGGCAACGAUGCGUAGCCGACCUGAGAGGGUGAUCGGCCACACUGGGACUGAGACACGGCCCAGACUCCUACGGGAGGCAGCAGUAGGGAAUCUUCCGCAAUGGACGAAAGUCUGACGGAGCAACGCCGCGUGAGUGAUGAAGGUUUUCGGAUCGUAAAGCUCUGUUGUUAGGGAAGAACAAGUACCGUUCGAAUAGGGCGGUACCUUGACGGUACCUAACCAGAAAGCCACGGCUAACUACGUGCCAGCAGCCGCGGUAAUACGUAGGUGGCAAGCGUUGUCCGGAAUUAUUGGGCGUAAAGGGCUCGCAGGCGGUUUCUUAAGUCUGAUGUGAAAGCCCCCGGCUCAACCGGGGAGGGUCAUUGGAAACUGGGGAACUUGAGUGCAGAAGAGGAGAGUGGAAUUCCACGUGUAGCGGUGAAAUGCGUAGAGAUGUGGAGGAACACCAGUGGCGAAGGCGACUCUCUGGUCUGUAACUGACGCUGAGGAGCGAAAGCGUGGGGAGCGAAACAGGAUUAGAUACCCUGGUAGUCCACGCCGUAAACGAUGAGUGCUAAGUGUUAGGGGGUUUCCGCCCCUUAGUGCUGCAGCUAACGCAUUAAGCACUCCGCCUGGGGAGUACGGUCGCA